rnacentral:rRNA from 1 species
UGGCGAACGGGUGAGUAACACGUGAGUAACCUGCCCUUGACUUUGGGAUAACUUCAGGAAACUGGGGCUAAUACCGGAUAGGAGCUCCUGCUGCAUGGUGGGGGUUGGAAAGUUUCGGCGGUUGAGGAUGGACUCGCGGCUUAUCAGCUUGUUGGUGGGGUAGUGGCUUACCAAGGCUUUGACGGGUAGCCGGCCUGAGAGGGUGACCGGCCACAUUGGGACUGAGAUACGGCCCAU